AUGUCUCCCUCUCUUGAUCUGCCCUCCCGGAUCCUGCCCCGCGUGCUCAUCGUCUCCCGCCGCACCGUCCGCAAGAACAAGUUCGUCGACUUCGUCGGGGAGUACCAUCUGGACCUGGUGGUGGGCUACGGCGCGGUGCCGGUCAUCGUGCCGCGGGUCGCCGGCGUGCACGCCAUGCUUGACUCCUUCGAGCCCAUCCAUGGCGUGCUCCUUUGCGAGGGCGAGGACAUCGACCCCUCCCUCUACGACGCCGGCGGCGACGGCAUCGACGGCGACGCGCUCUCGCCGGAGCAGCUCGAGGCCGUGCGGCGCCUCCACCCGAGCGACGCCGCGGUGGACCACGAGAAGGACUCCAUCGAGCUCCUCCUAGCGCGCCGCUGCCUCGAGCGCAGCGUCCCGUUCCUCGGCAUCUGCCGCGGCUCGCAGGUGCUCAACGUCGCCUGCGGCGGCUCGCUCUACCAAGACGUCGAGCAAGAGCUGCACCCCGCGGCCGAUGCCACCGUCUGCCACAUGGACUACGCCAACUACGACGGGCACAGGCACCCGGUGCGCGUGCUCCCCGACACGCCGCUGCACGACUGGUUCGCCGAGUCGCUGAUCGGCGGCGACCAGCUGAUGGUGAACAGCUACCACCACCAGGGCGUGCGGCGCCUGGCCGAGCGGUUCGUCCCGAUGGCGCAUGCGCCGGACGGGCUGGUCGAAGGGUUCUACGACCCUGACGCAUACAACCCCGGCGAAGGCAAGUUCCUCAUGGGGCUCCAGUUCCACCCGGAGCGCAUGCGCAAGGAGGGCUCCGACGAGUUCGACUACCCCGGCUGCGCCAAGGCCUACCAGGAGUUCGUCCGCGCAGUCGUCGCAUACAAGGCGAAGCUGGCCGCCGCGCAUGCUCAUGUGCACGUCCAGAGCGCGGUCACCACGCCGGCGACAUUGAACCACGAAAUGGAGAAGCAGCGCAAGGUGAUCGGCCGGAGCGUCUCGCUCGCCAAGAACAUGUACAUGUUCGGCAACAACAACAGCGCGCAGCAUCCGGCGCAGCACCGGGACGGGGACCUGGACGGCGGCGCGGAGUUCCUGGAGUCGAACACGGCGCUGAGCGUGCAGCAGGAGAAGCGGCUGAAGCAGAUGGGCGCGACGGUCCGGAAUGCGUCGGGGUACAUGAACAGGCUCAAGGUUAGCGAGGAGCGGGAGGCGGCAGCGCGGGCGCUCAUGGCGAAGAUGUCGGUCGCCCAGCUCGCCAGCCUCGCCGCCUUCUACCGCGCCAUGGGCAACGUCUGCUCCGAGGUGCUCGACGCCAAGCUCCAGCCGCCGUCUACAACCCUGCACGAGUGA
rnacentral:rRNA from 1 species